UUACGGCCAAAUCACGUUGAAACACCGCUUUCCGUACUAUCAAAGAAAUUAAGCAACGUUGAGCUUGGUCAGUAUCUAGAUGGGUGACUGCUUGGGAAUAUCAGGUGAUGA